AGAGUUUGAUCCUGGCUCAGGAUGAACGCUGGCGGCGUGCCUAAUACAUGCAAGUCGAGCGAACGGACGAGAAGCUUGCUUCUCUGAUGUUAGCGGCGGACGGGUGAGUAACACGUGGAUAACCUACCUAUAAGACUGGGAUAACUUCGGGAAACCGGAGCUAAUACCGGAUAAUAUUUUGAACCGCAUGGUUCAAAAGUGAAAGACGGUCUUGCUGUCACUUAUAGAUGGAUCCGCGCUGCAUUAGCUAGUUGGUAAGGUAACGGCUUACCAAGGCAACGAUGCAUAGCCGACCUGAGAGGGUGAUCGGCCACACUGGAACUGAGACACGGUCCAGACUCCUACGGGAGGCAGCAGUAGGGAAUCUUCCGCAAUGGGCGAAAGCCUGACGGAGCAACGCCGCGUGAGUGAUGAAGGUCUUCGGAUCGUAAAACUCUGUUAUUAGGGAAGAACAUAUGUGUAAGUAACUGUGCACAUCUUGACGGUACCUAAUCAGAAAGCCACGGCUAACUACGUGCCAGCAGCCGCGGUAAUACGUAGGUGGCAAGCGUUAUCCGGAAUUAUUGGGCGUAAAGCGCGCGUAGGCGGUUUUUUAAGUCUGAUGUGAAAGCCCACGGCUCAACCGUGGAGGGUCAUUGGAAACUGGAAAACUUGAGUGCAGAAGAGGAAAGUGGAAUUCCAUGUGUAGCGGUGAAAUGCGCAGAGAUAUGGAGGAACACCAGUGGCGAAGGCGACUUUCUGGUCUGUAACUGACGCUGAUGUGCGAAAGCGUGGGGAUCAAACAGGAUUAGAUACCCUGGUAGUCCACGCCGUAAACGAUGAGUGCUAAGUGUUAGGGGGUUUCCGCCCCUUAGUGCUGCAGCUAACGCAUUAAGCACUCCGCCUGGGGAGUACGACCGCAAGGUUGAAACUCAAAGGAAUUGACGGGGACCCGCACAAGCGGUGGAGCAUGUGGUUUAAUUCGAAGCAACGCGAAGAACCUUACCAAAUCUUGACAUCCUUUGACAACUCUAGAGAUAGAGCCUUCCCCUUCGGGGGACAAAGUGACAGGUGGUGCAUGGUUGUCGUCAGCUCGUGUCGUGAGAUGUUGGGUUAAGUCCCGCAACGAGCGCAACCCUUAAGCUUAGUUGCCAUCAUUAAGUUGGGCACUCUAAGUUGACUGCCGGUGACAAACCGGAGGAAGGUGGGGAUGACGUCAAAUCAUCAUGCCCCUUAUGAUUUGGGCUACACACGUGCUACAAUGGACAAUACAAAGGGCAGCGAAACCGCGAGGUCAAGCAAAUCCCAUAAAGUUGUUCUCAGUUCGGAUUGUAGUCUGCAACUCGACUACAUGAAGCUGGAAUCGCUAGUAAUCGUAGAUCAGCAUGCUACGGUGAAUACGUUCCCGGGUCUUGUACACACCGCCCGUCACACCACGAGAGUUUGUAACACCCGAAGCCGGUGGAGUAACCUUUUAGGAGCUAGCCGUCGAAGGUGGGACAAAUGAUUGGGGUGAAGUCGUAACAAGGUAGCCGUAUCGGAAGGUGCGGCUGGAACACCU
rnacentral:rRNA from 1 species